rnacentral:rRNA from 1 species
UACGUAGGGUGCAAGCGUUAAUCGGAAUUACUGGGCGUAAAGCGUGCGCAGGCGGUUUUGUAAGUCUGUCGUGAAAUCCCCGGGCUCAACCUGGGAAUUGCGAUGGAGACUGCAAGGCUAGAAUCUGGCAGAGGGGGGGGUAGAAUUCCACGUGUAGCAGUGAAAUGCGUAGAGAUGUGGAGGAACACCGAUGGCGAAGGCAGCCCCCUGGGUCAAGAUUGACGCUCAUGCAC